UAACCGUAGGUGAACCUGCGGUUGGAUCAUUAAUGAAUUUUAUUAAAAAAUCCUUUAACAUUUUGUGAACAUGUAAUUUUUUUUUCACUUUAUAAUAAUAUUAUUGAGAUAAAAUCUCUUUAUUUUACAAAUAAUUAUAAAAACAACUUUUGGCAACGGAUCUCUUGGCUCUCGCAUCGAUGAAGAACGCAAC
rnacentral:misc_RNA from 1 species